UUAUGGCCACAUCAUGUUGAAACACUGAUUCCCAUACAAUCACUGAAGUUAAGCAACAUCGAGCCUGGCCAGUACAGAGAUAGAUGACUUCUUAGGAAUACCAAAUGCUGUAUG